rnacentral:lncRNA from 1 species
GCGCUUAGUCUUGGGGGACCCUGGAGUGAGGAGAAUGAAUACCACCUCUGCCCUUAUGGAAGAGCAGUGGGGAGCGCCUGUGGAAUAGGGGAGUGAGAUGGAUUAUAGAAGUCUUGGGGGAAAUCCAAGAAGGUUGAAAGUGAGGGCCGUGUUCAGAAAAAGUUUGCCAACUUCUGCUGUAGAUUGAUGACUACAAAGUCUGACACAGGAUACAGUUACAGGGACAUGGCAAAGCCAGAAAAACGAGGACCAGGAGUCCAGCUUUCAACAAAGCCAAAUCUAUUCAAUAUCCAGACUACCCUUUGUACCAAGGAAGUCACAGGGUGACUCCAAGCAGGGCCCCCUUUGCAUUGAGCCUGCCCCCCUCUCAGCCCAGAUAAGAGGCUGGAGACACAGAGAGGCUCCAGAACUUACCCAAGGUCACACAGCUUCUAAAUGGGUGUUGUCGGAACCUACUUUCAGAGACCUGAUUCUAAAACCCUCACUGAUACUUUCCGUGAGUCCAGAUGAACAGAGGGCUUCAAGGAAAAUCCAUUCAGUGCCAGGAUGCUACCAGCUCCCUGGGGCAUGGGACUGCCAUCCUCUCCUAGGCGUCU